CAGUCGCCGCGGUAAUACAGAGGGUGCGAGCGUUAAUCGGAUUUACUGGGCGUAAAGCGUGCGUAGGCGGCUUCUUAAGUCGGAUGUGAAAUCCCUGAGCUUAACUUAGGAAUUGCAUUCGAUACUGGGAAGCUAGAGUAUGGGAGAGGAUGGUAGAAUUCCAGGUGUAGCGGUGAAAUGCGUAGAGAUCUGGAGUAAUACCGAUGGCGAAGGCAGCCAUCUGGCCUAAUACUGACGCUGAGGUACGAAAGCAUGGGGAGCAAACAGGAUUAGAUACCCCUGUAGUCCCUGUCUCUUAUAC
rnacentral:rRNA from 1 species